AAAAUGCGCCAAUGUAAAUGCUGAAAAGUUUCCUAUCGUAUUGUCGAACAAAUUCAUAUCUACUUCUGAUCUACGCGACCUUAGAAGUUUGGAUUGUCCUACCUAAUCAUUUUACAUUUUAUUGUUUUCAGAACAAGAAUUAUUUUACUUCCCACUGUCUAUGUAAGGGGACUUAGAGCGGAUUCAUACUUUACUAUACGUGUCGUGUCGAAUGAUAGUCCCUAUGUCAGUUUCUCCAAUUCUAUUUUGCGUAGGAUAAGUUAAAAAAAUAAUUAAAAAUAUGUGUUACCGUAUUUUUAUUCGUGAAAUGUUACCUAUAUUUCUAAUUUAAUGAUUGUACUAUACUUCCAAAAAUAUGUCUGACAAACAUUUUAUAUGAAAACCAUUUUUCCAUGUAAAAAUGAACUGUUAUAGGGACCAUUUUUUGAAUUUAUGAUAAUUUAUUCAUAUUUUAAUGUACUCGGGUAGGUAAUAUUGCAGGCAUUAUAUCAGCACCAAAUAAAUGCUGUGAACCAGAUAUAUAUUAAGUGGCGAAUAACGUUUCCAAAUCGCAUUUUCUUUGACAUAUUUUUCUUUUUUUUUUGCUCUUUUUUUCACGACCGGUUUGGCCUAGUAAGUCGAUGAUCCUGGGUUUGAAUCCCGGUAAGGGCAUUUAUUUGUGUGAUGAGCACAGAUAUUUGUUCCUGAGUCAUGGAUGUUUUCUAUGUAUUUAAGUAUUUGUAUAUUAUAUAUUAUUAUGUCGUUGUAUGAGUACCCACAAAACAAGCCUUCUCGGCUUGCCGUGGGACUCAGUUAAUUUGUGUAAGAAUGUCCCUAUAAUAUUUAUUUAUUGUUAUUAUUAUUGUAUGUCCGGUAACAGAACUCCCCAGGAGCACUCGGGUGUGUAAGGUCGCUACUCCCCAACUUAUUAUAAUUGUUAUUACUUUCAGCAUUUUUAAGUUGUUCAUCGGACACUGAGGCCAUUGAAGUUUCAAGCUGGCGGCAUCAAAAUGGAGUACCUAGGUACUGUUUCAUUCAAAUAAAUGGGUGAAACCAUACGGAAAUAAUGAGGAUGCAUCGACAUAAGAAGAAUCGAACAUGGGCAAGAUAAAGUUCAAGAAAAAAGCAAAUAUAAUGUGUACUUGUGUGUAGUCAAAGAAAGUUGAAAAAUAAAGCAUAAUUAAUGGCCAUAGAAUACAGAACCGAUACACGAACAUUAAGACUAUUAAAAAUAGACAUAUAGGUUGAUCGUACUACUCGUACUAAUGUAUUUCUUUUGUUCAAUUAUAUUAUUGCAUUAAAGUUAGAUUCUCUAGAUAUAUAU